rnacentral:rRNA from 1 species
UACGUAGGUGGCAAGCGUUGUCCGGAUUUACUGGGCGUAAAGAGCGCGCAGGCGGCUGGUCAAGUCCGAUGUGAAAUCUCCCGGCUCAACUGGGAAACUGCAUCGGAAACUGAUCGGCUUGAAGGUGGGAGAGGGUAGUGGAAUUCCCGGUGUAGCGGUGAAAUGUGUAGAGAUCGGGAGGAACACCGGUGGCGAAGGCGGGUCUCUGGGCAAUUCCUGACGCUGAGGCGCGAAAGCGUGGGGAGCAAACGGG